AGUGAACGCUGGCGGUAGGCCUAACACAUGCAAGUCGAACGGCAGCACAGUAAGAGCUUGCUCUUACGGGUGGCGAGUGGCGGACGUGUGAGGAAUACAUCGUAAUCUACUUUUUCGUGGGGGAUAACGUAGGGAAACUUACUCUAAUACCGCAUACGACCUACGGGGGAAAGCAGGGGAUCUUCUGACCUUGCGCGAUUGAAUGAGCCGAUGUCGGAUUAGCUAGUUGGCGGGGUAAAGGCCCACCAAGGCGACGAUCCGUAGCUGGUCUGAGAGGAUGGUAAGCCACACUGGAACUGAGACACGGUCCAGACUACUACGGGAGGCAGCAGUGGGGAAUAUUGGACAAUGGGCGCAAGCCUGAUACAGCCAUACCGCGUGGGUGAAGAAGGCCUUCGGGUUGUAAAGCCCUUUUGUUGGGAAAGAAAAGCAGCAGGUUAAUACCACGCUGUUCUGACGGUACCCAAAGAAUAAGCACCGGCUAACUUCGUG
rnacentral:rRNA from 1 species